rnacentral:rRNA from 1 species
UUAAGUUAGAAAGGGCGCACGGUGGAUGCCUUGACACUAGGAGUCGAUGAAGGACGGGACUAACGCCGAUAUGCUUCGGGGAGCUGUAAGUAAGCUUUGAUCCGAAGAUUUCCGAAUGGGGAAACCCACCAUACGUAAUGGUAUGGUAUCCUUAUCUGAAUACAUAGGGUAAGGAAGACAGACCCAGGGAACUGAAACAUCUAAGUACCUGGAGGAAGAGAAAGCAAAUGCGAUUUCCUGAGUAGCGGCGAGCGAAACGGAACAUAGCCCAAACCAAGAGGCUUGCCUCUUGGGGUUGUAGGACAUUCUAUACGGAGUUACAAAGGAACGAGGUAGACGAAGCGACCUGGAAAGGUCCGUCGUAGAGGGUAACAACCCCGUAGUCGAAACUUCGUUCUCUCUUGAAUGUAUCCUGAGUACGGCGGAACACGUGAAAUUCCGUCGGAAUCUGGGAGGACCAUCUCCCAAGGCUAAAUACUCCCUAGUGAUCGAUAGUGAACCAGUACCGUGAGGGAAAGGUGAAAAGCACCCCGGAAGGGGAGUGAAAGAGAUCCUGAAACCGUGUGCCUACAAAUAGUCAGAGCCCGUUAACGGGUGAUGGCGUGCCUUUUGUAGAAUGAACCGGCGAGUUACGAUCCCGUGCGAGGUUAAGCUGAAGAGGCGGAGCCGCAGCGAAAGCGAGUCUGAAUAGGGCGUUUAGUACGUGGUCGUAGACCCGAAACCAGGUGAUCUACCCAUGUCCAGGGUGAAGUUCAGGUAACACUGAAUGGAGGCCCGAACCCACGCACGUUGAAAAGUGCGGGGAUGAGGUGUGGGUAGCGGAGAAAUUCCAAUCGAACCUGGAGAUAGCUGGUUCUCCCCGAAAUAGCUUUAGGGCUAGCCUUAAGUGUAAGAGUCUUGGAGGUAGAGCACUGAUUGGACUAGGGGUCCUCAUCGGAUUACCGAAUUCAGUCAAACUCCGAAUGCCAAUGACUUAUCCUUAGGAGUCAGACUGCGAGUGAUAAGAUCCGUAGUCAAAAGGGAAACAGCCCAGACCGCCAGCUAAGGUCCCAAAGUGUGUAUUAAGUGGAAAAGGAUGUGGAGUUGCUUAGACAACUAGGAUGUUGGCUUAGAAGCAGCCACCAUUUAAAGAGUGCGUAAUAGCUCACUAGUCGAGUGACUCUGCGCCGAAAAUGUACCGGGGCUAAAUACACCACCGAAGCUGCGGAUUGAUACCGAAUGGUAUCAGUGGUAGGGGAGCGUUCUAAGGACAGUGAAGUCAGACCGGAAGGACUGGUGGAGUGCUUAGAAGUGAGAAUGCCGGUAUGAGUAGCGAAAGACGGGUGAGAAUCCCGUCCACCGAAUGCCUAAGGUUUCCUGAGGAAGGCUCGUCCGCUCAGGGUUAGUCAGGACCUAAGCCGAGGCCGACAGGCGUAGGCGAUGGACAACAGGUUGAUAUUCCUGUACCACCUCUUUAUCGUUUGAGCAAUGGAGGGACGCAGAAGGAUAGAAGAAGCGUGCGAUUGGUUGUGCACGUCCAAGCAGUUAGGCUGAUAAGUAGGCAAAUCCGCUUAUCGUAAAGGCUGAGCUGUGAUGGGGAAGCUCCUUAUGGAGCGAAGUCUUUGAUUCCCCGCUGCCAAGAAAAGCUUCUAGCGAGAUAAAAGGUGCCUGUACCGCAAACCGACACAGGUAGGCGAGGAGAGAAUCCUAAGGUGUGCGAGAGAACUCUGGUUAAGGAACUCGGCAAAAUGACCCCGUAACUUCGGGAGAAGGGGUGCUUUCUUAACGGAAAGCCGCAGUGAAUAGGCCCAAGCGACUGUUUAGCAAAAACACAGCUCUCUGCGAAGCCGUAAGGCGAAGUAUAGGGGGUGACACCUGCCCGGUGCUGGAAGGUUAAGGAGAGGGGUUAGCGUAAGCGAAGCUCUGAACUGAAGCCCCAGUAAACGGCGGCCGUAACUAUAACGGUCCUAAGGUAGCGAAAUUCCUUGUCGGGUAAGUUCCGACCCGCACGAAAGGUGUAACGAUUUGGGCACUGUCUCAACCAGAGACUCGGUGAAAUUAUAGUACCUGUGAAGAUGCAGGUUACCCGCGACAGGACGGAAAGACCCCGUGGAGCUUUACUGUAGCCUGAUAUUGAAUUUUGGUACAGUUUGUACAGGAUAGGCGGGAGCCAUUGAAACCGGAGCGCUAGCUUCGGUGGAGGCGCUGGUGGGAUACCGCCCUGACUGUAUUGAAAUUCUAACCUACGGGUCUUAUCGACCCGGGAGACAGUGUCAGGUGGGCAGUUUGACUGGGGCGGUCGCCUCCUAAAGUGUAACGGAGGCGCCCAAAGGUUCCCUCAGAAUGGUUGGAAAUCAUUCGUAGAGUGCAAAGGCAUAAGGGAGCUUGACUGCGAGACCUACAAGUCGAGCAGGGACGAAAGUCGGGCUUAGUGAUCCGGUGGUUCCGCAUGGAAGGGCCAUCGCUCAACGGAUAAAAGCUACCCCGGGGAUAACAGGCUUAUCUCCCCCAAGAGUCCACAUCGACGGGGAGGUUUGGCACCUCGAUGUCGGCUCAUCGCAUCCUGGGGCUGUAGUCGGUCCCAAGGGUUGGGCUGUUCGCCCAUUAAAGCGGUACGCGAGCUGGGUUCAGAACGUCGUGAGACAGUUCGGUCCCUAUCCGUCGUGGGCGUAGGAAAUUUGAGAGGAGCUGUCCUUAGUACGAGAGGACCGGGAUGGACG